GAGAAAAUAAUUAUAAAAUAUUAAUUAUUUCAUAAAAUAUUUCUCGAUUAAUUUUUUUGAGGAUAAGCUCGAAAAAAAGUUAAGAAAUUUUACUAAUUUAGGUUAUUAUGUGGGCUUAAAAUUGGCCAUCAUAAGAGUUUGUUAUAAAACAAUAAUCUUAAUAUUUAAGAUUAAUAUAUUUUAUUCUAAUUUUUUACAGAAAUAAAGACCUCAAUUAAUAAAUGCCUUAUACCUAUGCUAGGAUGAGUAUUAAAACUUUUUAUAUUCUAAGAAAAUUUUAUGUAUUUUUCUUCAAAAAAAAUAUUGAUUGAAUUAAAUUAGUUAAAAGGAACUCGGCAAAAAAUGCUUUCGCCUGUUUAUCAAAAACAUGGCUCUCUGAAUUCAUUUUUAUAGGGAGUCAGGCCUGCCCAGUGAAUAAUAUUU
rnacentral:rRNA from 1 species